rfam:Gasterosteus aculeatus cont1.015343, whole genome shotgun sequence.
GGGCUAGUGGCGCAAUGGAUAACGCGUCUGACUACGAAUCAGGAGAUUCCAGGUUCGACUCCCUGGCUAGCUCG